GUCCCCUGAUUGGACGCCCACUGUGCGGUAUGUGUGUGUGUGUGUGUGUGUGUGUGUGUGUGUGUGUGUGUGUGUGUGUGUGUGUGUGUGUGUGUGUGUGUGUGUGUGUGUGUGUGUGUGUUCUCAAAACACAGAUGUCUCUCCUAUCCAUCCGUUGUUAUCUAUUUUUAACACAUAAACACACAGAGGUAAACCCACGGACACAGACACACAUACACACUCACAAACACACACACCAACACAUACCCACACCCACACAAUCACAGACACACAUACCCACCCACACAUACACGCUCUCGUGCACAGGCAGCCUUGAAAUUAAUGUCGUAGCAUAGUUCAAAUGUUUGGUCGGCAUCAAAUAUUUAAUCAUGCAUAAGCUCGUCUACAGAAUGUUCUUCCCUCUCAAACAGACACGAAAAUAAAGCUAAUGUGUAGCUCAUCUUUUCUUCAUCAAAGUACAACAGACAAUAGCUUCUAUAACAGAGGCUCUGAUUGUUAAGAUGAGUAAUCCUCAUAUUAAGCCAUUUAAACAAUUAGAAUUCAGGCAACACACAAGUGAUCACGUUGGAAAGUCACUGCAUGUAAAGGCUUUUAGAUUGAUCGAAACCACCUCAAUCUGCGGACCACCUCAGUUUGAGCUAAUCAUUUGAUCACUCCGUUUUUUUGUUUCAAAUAAUAAUUGAUGAAAGUCGGUACUUGCUUUGUUUUUACGGGUUUAUAAUUGGGGAAACUCAUUUCUUCCACUCCCUGGCGCUCACAGCUGUUGUCUGGGUCGUAUUGUUGAGUCAGUUAGUGCAAAUGGGCCAUAUGCUCUGGAGCAGUUUGUGAACUACAGUAAAUGUCAGGUGUCACCCACCCUCUGAGCAUGCUAAUGUGUUUGUUAUUCUGUCAACUUCUGUGUUGAUUGAGGAACCGGGCCAAAAUGAAAAAUAUAAAUAUUUCCACUCGCCCGUGCAUGUGAUAAAAGGAAACAAUAAUAUCGGCAAAAAAUGAUCAAAAUCUAAAUGAGACGUGUGUUUGUGUGUGUGUGUGUGUGUGUGUGUGUGUGUGUGUGUGUGUGUGUGUGUGUGUGUG
ensembl:lncRNA